CCUAUCCAGGAUGAUGAGCUGAUCUCCUACCUGCUGCAUGGGAUGGACAUGGACUACCGGCCCCUCAUCUCUGCACUCGACGCCCGCGUCAUGCCGGUCUCCCUCGACGAGCUGUACGCCAUGCUGAGCAACUUUGAUC